AACAAAAUAGCUUAAGUAAAGUUUUUAUUUUACACAUAAAAGAUAAUUUUUAUAAAUUUUUUGUUA
rnacentral:tRNA from 1 species